CAGUCGCCGCGGUAAUACGAAGGGUGCAAGCGUUAAUCGGAAUUACUGGGCGUAAAGCGUGCGUAGGCGGUGAGUUAAGUCUGCUGUGAAAUCCCCGGGCUCAACCUGGGAAUGGCAGUGGAUACUGGCUCGCUAGAGUGUGUCAGAGGGUGGUGGAAUUCCCGGUGUAGCGGUGAAAUGCGUAGAGAUCGGGAGGAACAUCAGUGGCGAAGGCGGCCAUCUGGGACAACACUGACGCUGAGGCACGAAAGCGUGGGGAGCAAACAGGAUUAGAUACCCCCGUAGUCCCUGUCUCUUAUAC
rnacentral:rRNA from 1 species